UGGCGGACGGGUGAGUAACGCGUGAGUAACCUGCCUUUCAGAGGGGGAUAACGUUCUGAAAAGAACGCUAAUACCGCAUGAGACUACAGAGCUGCAUGGCUCAGUGGUCAAAGGAGCAAUCCGCUGAAAGAUGGACUCGCGUCCGAUUAGAUAGUAGGCGGGGUAACGGCCCACCUAGUCGACGAUCGGUAGCCGGACUGAGAGGUUGAACGGCCACAUUGGGACUGAGACACGGCCCAGACUCCUACGGGAGGCAGG
rnacentral:rRNA from 1 species